UACAGAGGUCUCAAGCGUUGUUCGGAUUCAUUGGGCGUAAAGGGUGCGUGAGGUGUCGGUAAGUCGGGUGUUAAACCCCCAGGCUCAACCUGGGGACGCCACUCGAUACUGCUGUGACUAGAGUCCGGUAGGGGAGCGUGGAAUUCCUGGUGUAGCGGUGAAAUGCGCAGAUAUCAGGAGGAACACCAGUGGCGAAGGCGGCUCACUGGACUGGUAUUGACGCUGAGGUGCGAAAGCGUGGGGAGCGAACAGG
rnacentral:rRNA from 1 species